AUAUUACCGAUUAAGUUUGAGCAAAUAGAGAACGGGGGAAAAAAAAACCAAAAAAUUCCUUGAGAGGGGGUCACCUUGCUACCUGUCUUCACAAACAGCACCCCUCGCUGCUCCCCACCAGAAGGCAGAAGUCUGAAGAAUGCACUGAAGCAGCCUCCCCUGUGCCUUGCUGCAAGUGUCUCCGCUUUCAAUCGCGAAACAACCACUUAUUGUCUCCUAAGCAUGUUUUAUCUGAGAGCCUGUGUGUUCAUUGGGCUGUGGAAGAAACCUUCCAGCGUCAAGCUCAUUUCCUGAGACUGCUAGCCCCGAAGGAGCUGGGGGAAGAGGCACUGGGGAAAGCCGUGGAGGAGACCGUGCUGAGAAUUAUUUAUAGUGCAAAUGACUCAGGCAUGGUGGAGACAGGCAACACUUUCGAAGAUUAAAAUAGCUAUCAAGGUCAUUGGAUCAUCAUCAAGCUGAGCUCGCAAGUUCUCCUGAAGCCUGGUCAAGAACUUGCCAUACCUCCCAUGUUCCCUGUUCAUGGAGAACCUGGGCUACUCACUGGACCAUGGCAGCCUCUCGCCAGGAGCCCAGUGGCAGAGCCAAGCUCAGUGGCUGCCCUUCCCUGGCAGUAAAGGAGGGGUGCGGAGGGCCCAGGCGUCCUCUCGCUGCCCUCACGUUACCCAGUGAUGGAUGGAUGCACGUGCAGUCCAGACUGUGCUGAAGAGGACGGACAGGUACCCGGAAACUGUGAGAAUGCAAAGAGAAGACAGAGCUUAUCAGUUCAGAGCUGUGGUUCUCAAAGUAUUGCCCAGGCGCCCCUGGGGAUCCCCAAGACCUUUUCAGGGUUUCAUGGGUUCCAAAUGACUUCCUUAACAAUACUAAAAUGUUAUCUGCCUUUCCACUCUCAUUGUCUCCAAAGUGUACAGCGGUGUUUCCCAGAGGUUCCAUGAUUUGUGUUGCAUCAGGUUCACUGCAUAAGCAGGUACAAGUAUCCAGAUGUCCUCCAUGAAGGCAAACAAUAAAGUUUUGCAAAAUGUAAAAGAAUGCCACCUUUCACUUUUUUGUUUUGGGAAAUAUAUUUAAUUUUCAUUUAACAAGUUACAUGUGUUAUGUAAUAGGUUGAUUAUUGUUAUUUUAUGUGAAAUAAAUACUUGUGUUUUUUUCCA